CCCAUAAUAAUACCAUUCAGUUGACUGGGUCAUGGAUCAUAUAUAUUUUCAACACUCAUGGUCCGACUACUUCACCAUAUUGUCUCUUCAGUCUAGUCUCAUGCUCCUCAGCUUUUCGACUAGUUGUGUUGUGUAAGGUAUUAGUACAAGACCUUUGUUGUGAUCAUAUAUAUAUAUCUACGUCGAAGAAGAAGAAAGAUACUUAUUCAUGUCAGCCAGAUGAUAAAUUAUUUACUCUUGAUUACUAUAGAAUCACUCUAUACCACCAACUCACUAUAAAUUUCACGAGAUAAACAUCAUCGAACUAGAAAAUAAUUAAUUAGUGUUAAAACUUUCAUAAAUAACAACAUGAUUCUUGAUAAAAAUGACACUUUUUAUUUUGUUUUGAAAUAUACCCAUGUAAUUAAGUAUCAGGUUAUGUUGAAAAAUGAAUACAAUUAAGUGGUUUUGUAUUUUUUUUUUUUAAAAAGAGUUUUACUUUGUAUGUUCCAAAAUUUAAUCUCUGACUAUAUGUGUAGAUACUAGAAACCAACUUUACACGCCAAACAAAAAAAAAUAAAUAACUUAUAAAUAACGUCUCACUUGUGUUCACAGAUCGCAUCACCAAAUCGCAGUAAAAAAGAACGCAAACGCGUUUCUCUCUCUCUCUCU
rnacentral:lncRNA from 1 species